UACGUAGGGGGCGAGCGUUGUCCGGAUUUAUUGGGCGUAAAGAGCGUGUAGGCGGCCAGGUAGGUCUGCUGUGAAAACUCGAGGCUCAACCUCGAGACGUCGGCGGAAACCAUCUGGCUAGAGUCCGGAAGAGGAGAGUGGAAUUCCUGGUGUAGCGGUGAAAUGCGCAGAUAUCAGGAAGAACACCCGUGGCGAAGGCGGAUCUCUGGGACGGUACUGACGCUGAGACGCGAAAGCGUGGGGAGCGAACAGG
rnacentral:rRNA from 1 species